UCUGUAUCGCCUCUCUGAAGAAGUUGGACUGAAGGAGAUACUUUCUGGAUCCUUUUGCUGCCCGACAUGGAAUUUUUACUGAACACCUGUGGACAGCAAAGAGUCAAACAUCUGCUGUUAUUAUACCUCUAUCUUGAAGGCAACAGGAGUAUUCUACAACAAAUAUUGUCAGAUGAACUUUCAAGACAAAAGCUGACUGUCCUAGACCUCACGGAAGGGGAAAUAUGGUCUUAUCCGACAAAAUGCUUCUAAUGAAUGAUUUUCCAGAGGGUAUUAGUGUCACUUUAGAGUGUGGUAAUGGAUAUCUUGCAGACACUGGCUCUGGGAUUAUAACUUGCAUUGAUGGGAAGUGGACUGAACUAGAUCUCACCUGCAAAAAGAAGGACUGUGGUCUCCCUAAACCUCAGCCGAAUAUGAGCUUCAAUACCAGCGAUGGUACCCUGUUUGGUGCUGUAAUAACAGUAGUUUGUGACAAAGGUUACCAGAUUAGUGGAUCAAGCUUCAAACAGUGCUACGCCAGAGGGUGGACUGGAAGAGCUAAGUGUGAAAGUAAAUGUCUCUUAUUUUGCAUUUCUUG